AUUGAACGCUGGCGGCAGGCCUAACACAUGCAAGUCGAGCGGAGCGGCGGACGGGUGAGUAAUACCUAGGAAUCGGCCUGGUCGUGGGGGAGACCGCUCGGAAACGGACGCUAUUACAGCAUACUAUCAAUUGAGCCUAGUUCGGAUUAGCUAGUUGGUGGGGUAAUGGCUCACCAAGGCGAGGAUCCGUACCUGGUCUGAGAGGAUGAUCAGUCACACUGGAACUGAGACACGGUCCAGACUCCUACGGGAGGCAGCAGUGGGGAAUAUUGGACAAUGGGCGAAAGCCUGAUGCAGCCAUGCCGCGUGUGUGAAGAAGGUCUUCGGGUUGUAAAGCACUUUAAGUGGGGAGGCGUUACCGACAGAAGAAGCACCGGCUAACUACGUGCCAGCAGCCGCGGUAAUUC
rnacentral:rRNA from 1 species